rnacentral:rRNA from 1 species
CGCACAAUAUUUAGCCACCGACACCUUGCUCUGCCACACCCCCACGGGCCUACAGCAGUGAUUAACAUUAAACAUGAGCGAAAGCUUGAUUUAGUUACAGUUAACCCUGUCAGGGUUGGUAAAUUUCGUGCCAGCCACCGCGGUUAUACGAAAGACCCGAAAUAGCGACCCCCGGCGUAAAGCGUGGUCAGGACCUACCAAAUUAAGAAUAAACAUCUUCCCUGCUGUAAAACGCCCAAGAAGACAAGAAUAUAAACCCCUUAAAACCAUCUAACCCCACGAAAGCUAGGACACAAACUGGGAUUAGAUACCCCACUAUGCCCAGCCCUAAACUUAGAUAGCACAACACUACCUAUCCGCCAGAGAACUACAGGCAAAUUACUUAAAACUCAAAGGACUUGGCGGCAUUCCACAUCAACCUAGAGGAGCCCGUCCAAUAAUCGAUAAUACGCGCUCAACCCUACCAUUUUUGGCCCCUCCAGCCUAUAUACCGCCGUCGUCAGCUAACCUUGUGAAAGAAAAAAAGUAAGCUCAACAGCCCCCGCUAAAACGUCAGGUCAAGGUGUAGCUAAUAAAAUGGAUGAGAUAGGCUACAUUUUCUAACUUAGACAAUACGAAUAACACAAUGAAACAUUGUACUGAAGGCGAAUUUAGAAGUAAAAUAAGAAAGGACUCUUAUUUUAACAUAGCCCUGGAAUGCG